rnacentral:rRNA from 1 species
GCUUAACGCGAAGAACCUUACCAGGCCUUGACAUGCAGAGAACUUUCCAGAGAUGGAUUGGUGCCUUCGGGAACGUCUGACACAGGUGCUGCAUGGCUGUCGUCAGCUCGUGUCGUGAGAUGUUGGGUUAAGUCCCGCAACGAGCGCGAACCCUUGUCCUUAGUUGCCAGCACGUAAUGGUGGGAACUCUAAGGAGACUGCCGGUGACAAACCGGAGGAAGGUGGGGAUGACGUCAAGUCACCAUGGCCCUUACGGCCUGGGCUACACACGUGCUACAAUGGUCGGUACAGAGGGUUGCCAAGCCGCGAGGUGGAGCUAAUCUCACAAAACCGAUCGUAGUCCGGAUCGCAGUCUGCAACUCGACUGCGUGAAGUCGGAAUCGCUAGUAAUCGCGAAUCAGAAUGUCGCGGUGAAUACGUUCCCGGGUCUUGUACACACCGAGUCGUGGGAGG